GCCGAACGCUGGCGGCGUGCCUAAUACAUGCAAGUUGAGCGCUGAAGGUUGGUACUUGUACCAACUGGAUGAGCAGCGAACGGGUGAGUAACGCGUGGGGAAUCUGCCUUUGAGCGGGGGACAACAUUUGGAAACGAAUGCUAAUACCGCAUAAAAACUUUAAACACAAGUUCUAAGUUUGAAAGAUGCAAUUGCAUCACUCAAAGAUGAUCCCGCGUUGUAUUAGCUAGUUGGUGAGGUAAAGGCUCACCAAGGCGAUGAUACAUAGCCGACCUGAGAGGGUGAUCGGCCACAUUGGGACUGAGACACGGCCCAAACUCCUACGGGAGGCAGCAGUAGGGAAUCUUCGGCAAUGGACGAAAGUCUGACCGAGCAACGCCGCGGGAGUGAAGAAGGUUUUCGGAUCGUAAAACUCUGUUGGUAGAGAAGAACGUUGGUGAGAGUGGAAAGCUCAUCAAGUGACGGUAACUACCCAGAAAGGGACGGCUAACUACGUG
rnacentral:rRNA from 1 species